GGAAGUGACGUACUCGGGCGGAGACUCGCGUGUGUCGUCACUCUGAGUGCACCGCAUGCCUACUCCUUCUCUCGCUGCUGGUUCGGGUGCUGGGACCUGGUCCCGCUUGCAAAAGCUCCCACGGACCAGAGAAAAGAGGAUGUCAGACGUAGAAACAAAUGGCGUGUCAGGUUUCGCAGGAAGAGAGGGAAGAGUGAAGCUCCGGGAGCCAGCCACGAUUGGUCGCGCCUUCUGUGACGUCCAACGGCAGAGGUCAAAGGGAUUCCUGGGGCAACCUCAAGGGAAAGAAUUCUGGCGCGGAGGGCCGGUGUACAGUACUUUAGAUAUGGCAGUGGUUGUGUCUGAAAUUAUCGUGUUUUUCUGUUUAACCUGUUGCUUGUCUCUUCAUCGCCUUUCUAUAUAAUGUAAGACCAGAGGCUUUAUGUAGUGAAUUUCCUGUAACUCCGGCUCCGUGGACAAAUAGGUAUUAAAGUAUUUGUUUCUUGAAGUAAUCCUCUGAAUUAACCUGCUCACAUGUAAAAAAUAAUAACCGGCUGCGAAACGCCAGUAAUAACCGCCAAACGUUUGUUAGACAUUUACAGUGUGCCAGGGACUGCAUUUUACGUGUAUUAUCACAUUCCUCAGAACAGCCUAAUGAGGUAUAUAUUACUAGAAUGCCUAUUUUUCAGAUGAGGAAACUGAUGCAUAGAAAGGAUAAUUUACUCAAGAGCGAGGAAGUAGCAAGCAUAAAAUCCAAGUACAUUUUUUCUGCAUGUAUUAAUAGGUACAGUGAAGUAAUUUUUUAAAUUGCUGUAGGUAUCAAUUAUAGUCUUAAUUCCCAGUAAUUCACUUACUAAGAAAUAUUUUCUGCUUCUCUUUCAUCAUUCAUGGAGAGAUACAUAUCCCUAAAUAUUUAGCACAUUUAAAACUUAAACUUGUUGGGUGUGGUGGCUUAUGCCUGUAAUCAUGGCGUUUUGGGAGGCUCAGGUGGGAGGAUUGCUUGAGUCCAGGAGUUCCAGGCCAGCCUGGGCCACAUGGUAAGACCCCAUAUCUACAAAAAAUAAAAAAAUUUAGCCAGGCAUGGUAGUGCCUCUGUAGUACUAGCUACUCGGGAGGCUGAGGUGGUAGGAUCACUGGCGCCCAGCAAUUCCAGCCUGCAAUUAGGUAGGAUUACCACACUGCACUUCAGCCUGAGUGACAGAAUGGGACCAUGUCUGAAAAAAUAAAAAUAAAACUUGCAGAUAUGUUCUGAAUGUUUAUUGUAUGCAUCCUCUAUGAUGUAUCAUUUUAUUGGAAAUUAUUGCAUUGUCUACAAAAAUAUGAAGAACUCUGAAGAUGCCAAAAGAUAAACCGUGAAAGAGUACUAGAAGUGAGCUCCUUAAAAAGAUAAAGCUGAGAAGUGUUUCCCAAUUUUUCUUAUUUAUGUAUGUAAUACUUUAGAAACUGAAUUUCAGAGCUGGGAGGAAACUUUAAAGUUAGUCCAGUUCUUUCGUGUUAGUGCCAAGAAAGCUGAUCAGAAAGAGAUUAAAUGACUUGCCCAAAAUUGAAUAGUCUUAAAUCUGAGCUGAGGCAGGCGUCUGAAUGUCUUAAAUUAGAGUUAAAUGUAUUAGCGUCAUAGUAUUAACAUCAUCAUAUUCCAUAUCUCUCAAAUCUGAUUUGAUUUUCAUUACAAUAGAGAAAUAAGUGUGAUUAGUAUUAUCCCCAUUUCCUUCACAUUGUUUUAGUGGCACAUUGUUUUAGUAUCAAAAGCAGCUACCUUGGGAGGCACAUUGUUUUAGUAUCAAAAGCAGCUACCUUGGGAGAAUCUGGGGCUAGAACCUGACCUCAUUUCAAGUUUUACUCUUGUUGCACCAAAACCUUGGGUGAGUUAGUUUUUCAGCCUCAGUCCCCUCAUCAGGAAAAUGCUGUGUUAGCACUUUCUGUGAAGAAUGAUCAAGGGAGUGGAGAUUAUAGAGAUUAUAAACACACUUGACACAGAGUAAGUGUUUAAGAACUGGUAGCUGAUUUUUACAAAGUUAUGGGUCAUAGAAGGCAGUUUAGAGCGCGGGCUUUGGAGUAGCUCAGAGUUGUAUUAUAACCUUGGCUUCUUUACUCACCUAGGACAUAGACUCUCUCUUUAGCUGUAGCUUACUGCCCUCUGAGAUGGAAAUUAUAAACCAUCUCGCAAUGUGGUGAGGAUUGUAGCUCAAGUGUGUAAAAUGCCUCCUCUGUGGGCUCUCCUUGGAGAGUUCUUGUAUCCUAUUGAUUGUCAUCAAAGGAAAAAAGUGGCAGGAUGAUGGUGUAAGUGGGAAGAACCUUGAGUUUAAUAGUCUGAAAAAGUGGUUACAGGUUCUUGCUGUGCUUUUCCUCUCUGGUUUUCUGAACCCAUCGCCUAACCUGAAGCCUUAAACUUCAUCUGCAAAAAUGUUUUGUGGCAGGUGCCUCUGAAGCAGAACUCUUGAGAUGGAAGGAUUGUCAUCUGAGGAAAAAAAAUCAAGAUUAAGAGAGGAGGAACUGGAAUGAGAUUCACAUACCCUCUCUCCUCCACAGGAAGGAGAGAGUGGUGAUGCCUGCCCACUCCUUCCUGGGCAGAACGUUUGUAGCAUGGAACAUUGGAGAAUUUGCAGUCUGCUGACUUUCUGAUUUAGGAGGUUGAUGAGGAGGCCUUAUAAUUUGCAUUUCUAACAAGUUCUGAGGUGAUGCUUCAAGUAUGUCCAGGCAGAAGGGCCACCUCACAGAGAUUUCUGCCAUACCACGUGGGAAUUGAAGUCACAGACAUCUCCAACCCUCAAGCCUGAAACCAAAAGACUGAAAACCAACACUACAGUGGACAAAGAACAUCUCAGAACUUCUGUGGGGACUAGUGACACAAGGACCUAAGGUCUCUCUCGUCUCAUCUUGGCACUUCAGAAGUCUCCCCAAUCUUGACAAAGCCCUGGAGAAAGGGGCGGAUCUCCCGUUGAUAAGAUUAUCACUGCAGAUAAAUGGAGGUUUCAAAUUGAAAGAAAGGAGGAGGGCCUCCUGUUGAUAAGAUUAUUGCCACUGCAGGUAAAUGGAGGUUUCAAAUAGAAAUACGUUUCAGUUACAGAAAAAAAAAUUAUCUUUGUUACACAUUUGAGUUUGCAGGCCUAAGGUUACUCCUGCUACACUAUCAUCUGUAACCAUAAGGCACUCAACAUUUUAAGCUAACUAUAAGGAUUUUUGCUUCACUCAAAGAUCUUGAGGUUUUAUUCACUUAACAUUUUUAUUUGGUGACUAUAGUUGACAAGAACAAAGCUGUGGGGAACCAACAAACACUAAUGCCUGGCAUUGUCACCUCAGUAGAUUGUGAGUUCCUCUGGGACAGGGUCCAUACAUUUUCUUCAAAUCCAUCACUUAGCCAUUAGCCUGCACAGUGCUUGUACUUAGUAAGUGCUCGGUAAAUGUUUGUGGAAUGAAUGCAUGAUGAACAAAAUAUAUACUGAGGACUCUGGUGUUGAUUCUUGUUGAUAAUGUAAUAGUUAAGAUAUGAUAUAAAUAUUGUAUCAAAA